CCUACGGGUGGCAGCAGUGGGGAAUAUUGGACAAUGGGCGAAAGCCUGAUCCAGCCAUGCCGCGUGUGUGAAGAAGGCCUUCGGGUUGUAAAGCACUUUCAGUGGGGAAGAAAGCCUUGGGGCUAAUACCCUCGAGGAAGGACAUCACCCACAGAAGAAGCACCGGCUAACUCCGUGCCAGCAGCCGCGGUAAUACGGAGGGUGCGAGCGUUAAUCGGAAUUACUGGGCGUAAAGCGCGCGUAGGCGGUCUGAUAAGCCGGUUGGGAAAGCCCCGGGCUCAACCUGGGAACGGCAUCCGGAACUGUCAGGCUAGAGUGCAGGAGAGGAAGGUAGAAUUCCCGGUGUAGCAGUGAAAUGCGUAGAGAUCGGGAGGAAUACCAGUGGCGAAGGCGGCCUUCUGGACUGACACUGACGCUGAGGUGCGAAAGCGUGGGUAGCAAACAGGAUUAGAUACCCGAGUAGUC
rnacentral:rRNA from 1 species